GCUUUUACAAUGGAAGGGAAGGCAGCUUGCCAGCUUGACAGCUUGACAUUUGCUUAAGUGUCUCUCGUCUGUCAGUGAUUCCAGAUUGUUGACGAAAUAUCGUCUUCUGCUACUUCUAAGUUUCGAUGGCCAUUGAUAAUUGGAGAGCAGCAUUGGAAUGCAACAGCUUUGUCUGGGCUAAAUGCCCUACUAGAUAGAAUCCUCUCGGGAAACUUCGUCUGCUCCUAAGUUUUACACAAUACACAUCACAAGUUACUUCCUAAAAUCAAAACUAAUUUAGAUGAGGAUUUUGAGAAUUUUAGCAGAUGUUUUUGUGUGACCUAGGUGCUUGUGAGUUGUGACAGUAGAGAUCAAAUCAUUCAAAUGGGUCAAUCCAAUAAUGUAAGCUAUGUCUUCCAAAGCUAAAUAGUUUCUACUGUCAUUUAAUGUUUAUAAUAAUAUGUCAGGUUAACUUCCCCUCUCAAAUCAUACUAAAUCUUUAAAUAUUGAUCCCUUCCCCAGAUCCAAUUCUUUGCUGCUAUCCUUUAAAGACAACAGCAAAAUAAUGCUCCCCACUCAAGAGGUUGUGGUGACCUCCACUAAGUUCUAAUUUAGGACAUUGAUAGAUUUGAGGUAUUAUUGCUUGCUGUUGCUACAACAUGGUUUGAAAAUUAUAUCUAAAUAUUCUCUCCUUUCAGGUUAAUCCAAUCAUCCCUCACCACUCUACAGUUGUUUGGAAACUGACAGGAGAUUGCUGGAAUCGAAGACUGUUAAUUUGUGUAAAUGUAGAUAAAUUACAUCUGGGAUUCUUUUCUGUGGUUCCCGUUUCCCUAACUAACGACUAACCAACACCCGCCGGUGGUCACUCACCCGCUGUGACAAUCAGGAGGAUGAGGAGGGUUGUGGUCGAACGGUGACUUUGAAGGCUCAUGAUCUGAGGAAGACUUUUGGAGGGUCUAAUAACUUGGAAACCUAUUAUGACUAAUCGCUCCCUAGUAAAACUGGCCUCGCACUCAUCUCUCUUCUUCCUUGUCCUUGUCGGACUAAUAGCUGGAAAAGGAAAACCAAGAAACUGUCUAGCAACAUCUCUAGUAUCUCUCCAUACCCAUGGUCAAGUCAAGACAUUCAUGACAAUCACUUAAAAAGACUUGUUGUAAUCAAUGACGUUUCUAGUACAUUUAAACCAAAUUGCAAGCAAUGAAAACCUGUUUAAUUGAUGGUUAGAACAUUAGAAAUCAUGGAAACGGUGUAAGGAAAAUCAUACUGCAAAUCGUCUGUCAAACUCGGUCAAGCUAACCAAUCUGCCAAACUACGCAAUAAAAGUAAAACUGAAUUUAAAUGAAUGCAAUGAAAGGUUCCGAAUAAGUAUUACUAAUCUUGUACUUCGUUGUUCCUAACGAGAGAAAGGUUUAGGGUGAGGAUUGAUAGUU
rnacentral:lncRNA from 1 species